GAAUGGCGUAAUGAUGGCCAGGCUGUCUCCACCCGAGACUCAGUGAAAUUGAACUCGCUGUGAAGAUGCAGUGUACCCGCGGCAAGACGGAAAGACCCCGUGAACCUUUACUAUAGCUUGACACUGAACAUUGAGCCUUGAUGUGUAGGAUAGGUGGGAGGCUUUGAAGUGUGGACGCCAGUCUGCAUGGAGCCGACCUUGAAAUACCACCCUUUAAUGUUUGAUGUUCUAACGUGGACCCGUGAUCCGGGUUGCGGACAGUGUCUGGUGGGUAGUUUGACUGGGGCGGUCUCCUCCUAAAGAGUAACGGAGGAGCACGAAGGUUGGCUAAUCCUGGUCGGACAUCAGGAGGUUAGUGCAAUGGCAUAAGCCAGCUUGACUGCGAGCGUGACGGCGCGAGCAGGUGCGAAAGCAGGUCAUAGUGAUCCGGUGGUUCUGAAUGGAAGGGCCAUCGCUCAACGGAUAAAAGGUACUCCGGGGAUAACAGGCUGAUACCGCCCAAGAGUUCAUAUCGACGGCGGUGUUUGGCACCUCGAUGUCGGCUCAUCACAUCCUGGGGCUGAAGUAGGUCCCAAGGGUAUGGCUGUUCGCCAUUUAAAGUGGUACGCGAGCUGGGUUUAGAACGUCGUGAGACAGUUCGGUCCCUAUCUGCCGUGGGCGCUGGAGAACUGAGGGGGGCUGCUCCUAGUACGAGAGGACCGGAGUGGACGCAUCACUGGUGUUCGGGUUGUCAUGCCAAUGGCACUGCCCGGUAGCUAAAUGCGGAAGAGAUAAGUGCUGAAAGCAUCUAAGCACGAAACUUGCCCCGAG
rnacentral:rRNA from 1 species